CAGCCGUAAACUAUGCGCGUUAGGUGUACUGGUGACCACGAGUCACCGGGUGCCGAAGGGAAACCGUGAAACGUGCCGCCUGGGAAGUACGGUCGCAAGGCUGAAACUUAAAGGAAUUGGCGGGGGAGCACCACAGCGGGUGGAGCCCUGCGGUUUAAUUGGACUCAACGCCGGAAAUCUCACCGGAUAGGACAGACAUAUGAUAGUCGGGCUAAAGACUCUACUUGAUGAUCUGAGAGGUGGUGCAUGGCGUCAGUGACU
rnacentral:rRNA from 1 species